rnacentral:rRNA from 1 species
CUACGGGGGGCUGCAGGCGCGAAACCUUUACAAUGCACGCAAGUGUGAUAAGGGGGUUCCGAGUGCUCAAGUUUUACUUGGGCUUUUGCCAAAGGUAAAUACUUUGGAGAAUAAGUGGUGGGUAAGACGGGUGCCAGCCGCCGCGGUAACACCUGCGCCACAAGUGGGAGCCAGUUUUAUUGGGUCUAAAGCGUCCGUAGCCUGUUCUGUAAAUCUUUUGUGAAAUCGUGAAGCUCAACUUUACGACGUGCAGGAGACACUGCAGGACUUGGGACCGGGAGGGGCAAGAAGUACUCUGAGGGGAGCGGUAAAAUGUUAUAAUCCUCGGAAGACUAUCGGUGGCGAAGGCGUCUUGCCAGAACGGAUCCGACGGUGAGGGACGAAAGCCAGGGGAGCAAACAGGAUUAGAUACCCCUGUAGUC